UUUUCUGACUGAUGGAUUG
rnacentral:piRNA from 1 species